GAUGAACGCUGGCGGCGUGCCUAAUACAUGCAAGUCGAGCGGACAGAUGAGGAGCUUGCUCCUCUGACGUUAGCGGCGGACGGGUGAGUAACACGUGGAUAACCUACCUAUAAGACUGGGAUAACUUCGGGAAACCGGAGCUAAUACCGGAUAAUAUAUUGAACCGCAUGGUUCAAUAGUGAAAGACGGUUUUGCUGUCACUUAUAGAUGGAUCCGCGCCGCAUUAGCUAGUUGGUAAGGUAACGGCUUACCAAGGCAACGAUGCGUAGCCGACCUGAGAGGGUGAUCGGCCACACUGGAACUGAGACACGGUCCAGACUCCUACGGGAGGCAGCAGUAGGGAAUCUUCCGCAAUGGGCGAAAGCCGGACGGAGCAACGCCGCGUGAGUGAUGAAGGUCUUCGGAUCGUAAAACUCUGUUAUUAGGGAAGAACAAAUGUGUAAGUAACUAUGCACGUCUUGACGGUACCUAAUCAGAAAGCCACGGCUAACUACGUG
rnacentral:rRNA from 1 species